UUAAGGGUGCAGGGCGGAUGCCUUGGCACUAGGAGCCGAUGAAGGACGUGAUAAGCUGCGAUAAGCUUCGGGGAGUUGCACGUAAACUUUGAUCCGAAGAUUUCCGAAUGAGGAAACUCACUUAGAGUAAUGUCUAAGUAUCAUUAAGUGAAUACAUAGCUUAAUGAGGGGAACUCAGGGAACUGAAACAUCUAAGUACCUGAAGGAAGAGAAAGAAAUUCGAUUCCGUAAGUAGCGGCGAGCGAACGCGGAUUAGCCCAAACUAAUAAAGUUUUCUUUAUUGGGGUUGCGGACAUAUCAUAACGAAGAGGUAUCGUAAUUGAAGAGGUUUGGAAAGACCCACCACAGAAGGUAAUAGUCCUGUAUGUUAAACGAGAAGACUUUAGAUAUGAUCCAGAGUACCACGGGACACGUGAAACCCUGUGGGAAGCAGGAGGGACCACCCUCCAAGGCUAAAUACUACCUAGUGACCGAUAGCGUAUAGUACCGUGAGGGAAAGGUGAAAAGAACCCCGGGAGGGGAGUGAAAUAGAACCUGAAACCCUGCACUUACAAGCUGUGGAAGCACAUUUCUUGUGUGACCGCGUACUUUUUGUAGAACGGGCCAACGAGUUACGUUAAGUAGCAAGGUUAAGCACUUAAGGUGUGGAGCCGUAGCGAAAGCGAGUUUUAACUGAGCGUUCAGUUACUUGACGUAGACCCGAAACCGGGCGACCUACCCAUGAGCAGGAUGAAGCGAAAGUAAAAUUUCGUGGAGGUCCGAACCCACGAGCGUUGAAAAGCUCGGGGAUGACUUGUGGGUAGCGGUGAAAUUCCAAUCGAGCCCGGAGAUAGCUGGUUCUCCCCGAAAUAGCUUUAGGGCUAGCCUCAAGGUGAGAGAUACGGAGGUAGAGCACUGAAUGUCCUAGGGGGUAUUGCACCUACCGAAGACUAUCAAACUCCGAAUGCCGUCAUCUUAUACUUGGGAGUCAGACUGUGGGUGAUAAGAUUCAUAGUCGAAAGGGCAACAGCCCAGAUCGUCAGCUAAGGUCCCUAAAUGUAAGUUAAGUGGUAAAGGAUGUGGGAUUGCACAGACAACCAGGAUGUUGGCUUAGAAGCAGCCACUCAUUCAAAGAGUGCGUAAUAGCUCACUGGUCGAGUGAUCCUGCGCCGAAGAUUUCCGGGGCUAAAACUUACUACCGAAGCUACGGCAUCAGUAAUGAUGGGUAGGGGAGCUUCCCAUACGGGUUGAAGCAUGACCGUAAGGACAUGUGGACAGUAUGGGAGUGAGAAUGUUGGCAUGAGUAGCGAGAUGUGGGUGAGAAUCCCACAGGCCGUAAACCCAAGGUUUCCAGGGGAAGGUUCGUCCGCCCUGGGUUAGUCGGGACCUAAGCUGAGGCCGAAAGGCGUAGGUGAUGGACAACAGGUUGAUAUUCCUGUACUACCGAUAACCGUUUGAGAGAAGGGAUGACACAGUAGGAUAAGCUAAGCACACUGUUGGUUAUGUGUGCCCAAGCAUUGAGGCAGUCAAAGUAGGCAAAUCCGCUUUGAUAAUGCUGGGAUGUGAUGGGGAGCGAAAUUUAGUAGCGAAGUAGCUGAUUUCACACUGUCAAGAAAAGUCUCUAUCGAGGUUAAAGGUACCCGUACCGCAAACCGACACAGGUGGGUGAGGAGAGUAUCCUAAGGCCAGCGAGAGAACUGUUGUUAAGGAACUCGGCAAAAUGACCCCGUAACUUAGGGAUAAGGGGUGCCACCAUCAGGUGGCCGCAGAGAAUAGGCCCAAGCGACUGUUUACCAAAAACAUAGGUUUCUGCUAAGUCGCAAGACGAUGUAUAGGAGCUGACGCCUGCCCGGUGCUGGAAGGUUAAGGGGAUCUGUUAGAGCAAUCGAAGCAGUGAACUUAAGCCCCAGUAAACGGCGGCCGUAACUAUAACGGUCCUAAGGUAGCGAAAUUCCUUGUCGGGUAAGUUCCGACCCGCACGAAAGGCGUAACGAUUUGGGCACUGUCUCAACAACAGACUCGGUGAAAUUGUAAUUCCGGUGAAGAUGCCGGAUACCUGCGACAGGACGGAAAGACCCCAUGGAGCUUUACUGUAGCUUGACAUUGGGUCUUGGUACUACAUGUACAGGAUAGGUGGGAGGCUUUGAAACCAGGACGCCAGUUUUGGCGGAGCCAUCCUUGGGAUACCACCCUUGUAGUACUGGGACUCUAACCAUAGGCCAUGAAUCUGGUCUUGGGACACUGUCAGGUGGGCAGUUUGACUGGGGCGGUCGCCUCCCAAAAGGUAACGGAGGCGCUCAAAGGUUCUCUCAGUACGGUCGGAAAUCGUACGUAGAGUGUAAAGGCAAAAGAGAGCUUGAUUGCAAGACAUACAGGUCGAGCAAGGAUGAAAAUCGGACUUAGUGAUCCGGUGGUUCUGCGUGGAAGGGCCAUCGCUCAACGGAUAAAAGCUACCCUGGGGAUAACAGGCUUAUCUCCCCCAAGAGUCCACAUCGACGGGGAGGUUUGGCACCUCGAUGUCGGCUCAUCACAUCCUGGGGCUGUAGUAGGUCCCAAGGGUUGGGCUGUUCGCCCAUUAAAGUGGUACGCGAGCUGGGUUCAGAACGUCGUGAGACAGUUCGGUCCCUAUCCGUCGCAGGCGUAGGAAAUUUGAGAAGACCUGUCCUUAGUACGAGAGGACCGGGAUGGACGUACCUCUGGUGUACCAGUUGUCCUGCCAAGGGCAUGGCUGGGUAGCUAUGUACGGAAUGGAUAAGCGCUGAAAGCAUCUAAGCGCGAAGCCAACUUCAAGAUAAGAUUUCCCACCGCAAGGGUAAGACCCCAGAAAGACUAUCUGGUUGAUAGGUCGAAGGUGUAAGUGCAGCAAUGUAUUUAGCUUAUCGAUACUAAUAGGUCGAGGACUUGACCAA
rnacentral:rRNA from 1 species